rnacentral:rRNA from 1 species
GACGAACGCUGGCGGCGUGCCUAAUACAUGCAAGUAGAACGCACAGGAUACACCGUAGUUUACUACACCGUAUUCUGUGAGUUGCGAACGGGUGAGUAACGCGUAGGUAACCUGCCUGGUAGCGGGGGAUAACUAUUGGAAACGAUAGCUAAUACCGCAUAAGAACAUUUACUGCAUGGUAGAUGUUUAAAAGGUGCAAAUGCAUCACUACCAGAUGGACCUGCGUUGUAUUAGCUAGUAGGUGAGGUAACGGCUCACCUAGGCGACGAUACAUAGCCGACCUGAGAGGGUGAUCGGCCACACUGGGACUGAGACACGGCCCAGACUCCUACGGGAGGCAGCAGUAGGGAAUCUUCGGCAAUGGGGGGAACCCUGACCGAGCAACGCCGCGUGAGUGAAGAAGGUUUUCGGAUCGUAAAGCUCUGUUGUUAAGGAAGAACGAGUGUGAGAAUGGAAAGUUCAUACUGUGACGGUACUAAACCAGAAAGG